rnacentral:rRNA from 1 species
UACGUAGGGAGCAAGCGUUGUCCGGAAUCAUUGGGCGUAAAGCGCGCGUAGGUGGCCCGGUAAGUCCGCUCUGAAAGUCACAGGCUCAACCUGUGAAAGCGGGUGGAUACUGCCGGGCUAGAGUCCGGAAGAGGCGAGUGGAAUUCCUGGUGUAGCGGUGAAAUGCGCAGAUAUCAGGAAGAACACCCGUGGCUAAGGCGGCUCUCUAGUACGGUACUGACGCUGAGACGCGAAAGCGUGGGGAGCGAACAGG